CGUGAGCGGCGGACGGGUGAGUAACGCGUGGGUAACCUGCCUCAUACAGGGGGAUAACAGUUGGAAACGGCUGCUAAUACCGCAUAAGCGCACAGUACCGCAUGGUACGGUGUGAAAAACUCCGGUGGUAUGAGAUGGACCCGCGUCUGAUUAGGUAGUUGGUGGGGUAACGGCCUACCCAGCCGACGAUCAGUAGCCGACCUGAGAGGGUGGCCGGCCACAUUGGGACUGAGACACGGCCCAA
rnacentral:rRNA from 1 species